rnacentral:rRNA from 1 species
GAUGAACGCUGGCGGCGUGCCUAAUACAUGCAAGUCGAGCGAACAGAUAAGGAGCUUGCUCCUUUGACGUUAGCGGCGGACGGGUGAGUAACACGUGGGUAACCUACCUAUAAGACUGGAAUAACUCCGGGAAACCGGGGCUAAUGCCGGAUAACAUUUAGAACCGCAUGGUUCUAAAGUGAAAGAUGGUUUUGCUAUCACUUAUAGAUGGACCCGCGCCGUAUUAGCUAGUUGGUAAGGUAACGGCUUACCAAGGCAACGAUACGUAGCCGACCUGAGAGGGUGAUCGGCCACACUGGAACUGAGACACGGUCCAGACUCCUACGGGAGGCAGCAGUAGGGAAUCUUCCGCAAUGGGCGAAAGCCUGACGGAGCAACGCCGCGUGAGUGAUGAAGGUCUUCGGAUCGUAAAACUCUGUUAUUAGGGAAGAACAGAUGUGUAAGUAACUGUGCACGUCUUGACGGUACCUAAUCAGAAAGCCACGGCUAACUACGUG